rnacentral:rRNA from 1 species
UGACUUAUCAGCUUGUUGUUAGGUUAUGUUCCUAACAAGGCUAUUACGGGUGACGGGGAUCAGGGUCCGAUACCGGAGAGGGAGCCUGAGAAACGGCUACCACAUCCAAGGAAGGCAGCAGGCGCGCAAAUUACCCUCUAGGGCACGGGGAGGUAGGCGAAAAAUAACCCCCUAUAGGUUUGCCUCUCGCAAUCGGAAUGGGUACACUUUAAAUCCUUAANCGNGA